AUUGAACGCUGGCGGCAGGCCUAACACAUGCAAGUCGAGCGGAUGAAGGGAGCUUGCUCCUGGCUUCAGCGGCGGACGGGUGAGUAAUGCCUAGGAAUCUGCCUGGUAGUGGGGGAUAACGUCCGGAAACGGGCGCUAAUACCGCAUACGUCCUGAGGUAGAAAGUGGGGGAUCUUCGGACCUCACGCUAUCAGAUGAGCCUAGGUCGGAUUAGCUAGUUGGUGGGGUAAAGGCCUACCAAGGCGACGAUCCGUAACUGGUCUGAGAGGAUGAUCAGUCACACUGGAACUGAGACACGGUCCAGACUCCUACGGGAGGCAGCAGUGGGGAAUAUUGGACAAUGGGCGAAAGCCUGAUCCAGCCAUGCCGCGUGUGUGAAGAAGGUCUUCGGAUUGUAAAGCACUUUAAGUUGGGAGGAAGGGCAGUAAGUUAAUACCUUGCUGUUUUGACGUUACCAACAGAAUAAGCACCGGCUAACUUCGUG
rnacentral:rRNA from 1 species